rnacentral:rRNA from 1 species
UACCAGCUCUCCGAGUGGUGUGGAUGUUUAUUGGGCCUAAAGCAUCCGUAGCUGGCUGGACAAGUCCCCUGUUAAAUCCACCGAUUUAAUCGUUGGUGUGCGGGGGAUACUGUUCGGCUAGGGGACGGGAGAGGCCGACGGUAUUUCCGGGGUAGGGGUGAAAUCCUAUAAUCCCGGGAAGACCACCAGUGGCGAAGGCUGUCGGCUAGAACGCGCCCGACGGUGAGGGAUGAAAGCUGGGGGAGCGAACCGGAUUAGAUACCCGGGUAGUCCCAGCUGUAAACGAUGCAGGCUAGGUGUUUGGGCGGCCACGAGCCGCUCUAGUGCCGCAAGGAAGCUGUUAAGCCUGCCGCCUGGGGAGUACGGCCGCAAGGCUGAAACUUAAAGGAAUUGGCGGGGGAGCACCACAAGGGGUGAAGCUUGCGGUUU